GUGAGGAGGGGCAUGGAGAAGAACAUGGGCAGUAUUACACAGCCUGAUGGUCUAUAGUUUCAGUAUGCUAACAGCCUAAACCGUUGUCGAGUCUGUGGUAAAUGUACGGGCAAAGGAGAACACUGAAAGAGGAGAAUCUCCCCUCGGGAGGUGGCUAUAAGUAUGCUUCAUUAAAAGUAAAUCUAAAGUGGUUAAGAAAGUUCUUGUGCACUAUACUGGGCAAAGCAUUGUGUGUGAGAAAUGGAUCCUGAAGGACUUCAAGACCCCAGGAGCCUCUGUGGCACUCUGCUUUUGAUGAGACAUGCUUUUGGUAACUACAAGCAAAACUAGUUUUCAGCUGGUGGUAGUGCAAGGAGUUGGAAGAGAGAAAGAAGCAACCAUGUGGACUCCAAGGUCAGUGAGGGAAGAGAGGAGGAGGUGUGCUGGAGCAGAAACUCCCCUGCAUCCUGCAGAGAAGACUGGUGAAGCUGAGCUUUGUUUGCAUUUUGUUAAAGACUCCACAUCAGGGACUGUGACUCAUUUUACUUAAGACCCCGUGCCAGGGGCAGUGACUGGCCAGAGGAGGCUGUGUCCCAUGUGAGGGACCCCAUAUUCACAGAAGCUGUAGCUGUUGGGAAGAACCCACGCCAAAGAAGUUCAUUAAAACUAUGCCCAGAAGAGACCGUGUCCUGUGGGAGGGACCCUUUAUCUUCCACGCCAGAGAUAUUCGUUAAGGACUGCGUCCCAUGUGAGGGACCCUGUAUUGGCAGAAGCCGUAGCUGCUGGGAAAAACCUACACCAGAGAAGUUUGUUAAGGACUGUGUCCCGUGGGAGGGACCCCGUAUCGGAACAGGGGAAGAAUGCAAGGAGUCAUCAUCCUCUGAGAAGAGAGAAGCAGCAGAGCCCAUCUGUGAGAGA